CCGUCGUAACCAUUUGGAGCUAGCCGUCGAAGGUGGGACAAAUGAUUGGGGUGAAGUCGUAACAAGGUAGCCGUAUCGGAAGGUGCGGCUGGAUCACCUCCUUU
rnacentral:rRNA from 1 species